UUAAAAACUCUCUCUCCCCUUUCACCAUCUCACUCACGACCUUCCCCUUCCCCCCAAUUUUUUUAUUCUUCCGUACGCCCUAGCCGUCAUUCUCCCCUCGCCUCCGUUUGCGUCGCUGUUAUUGAGUUUUUCAUUCCAUUGUUUGCUCAGCCGCGCCAGCCCUCUUCCUCGUCGUUUGUUCAACUCCCUCGCCGUUUGUUCAGCUGCGUUGGCCAUCUAGCUGUGCACGUCACUUGCGAGUUUUCAGCCCCAUCCAUAUUUGUAGCCGAACGCCCUCAACCGCUUCCAUCGCUUUAGCCACACCCAGAUCUGUAGCCGAACGCUUCCGUCGCUUCAUCUCCGCCCAGAUCUGUAGCCAAACGCCCUCAACCGCUUCUGUCGCUUCAGUCAAGGUAGUCCAGCCAAAUCCGCUCGUUGUCGUCGAGGUUGUCCACAUCUUCGUUGAGGUCUAGCUUUGUAACAGAUCUGUUCAAGUGUGGGCUUCACUCUAUCUUGUCAGAUCUAUACUCCAUCUCGCUGGAAUCUUGUAUUUUUGGAUUCAAGAUUCGGAGAACAUUAAUGUGUUGUCCAACAAGUUGAUAUUGAUUUCGGUAAGAUUUUCCCAUAAGUUUUUUUACCCAAGUUGAUUGAUGCUCUUUGUGAUUUGGCCUUAGAUUCAAGAUUUGGAGAACAUUAAUAUGUUGUCCAACAGGAUGAUAUUGAUUUCGGUAAGAUUUUUCCAUAAGUUUUUUUACCCAAAUUGAUUGAUGCUCUUUGUGAUUUGGCUUUUGAUUCAAGAUUUGGAGAACAUUAAUGUGCUGUCCAACAGGUUGAUAUUGAUUUCGAUUGAAGUGUUGGAAGGAGUUGAGUUGCUGUCCAAUAGGUUUGAGACCGAUCUUGAUUUCGAAGGAUUGGAGCCAUUAUCCAACAAAGUUAAUGAUGUUUGGAUGUUUUGAUAGGCUGACUUGCUUAAACAUGGCUUGCCUGACCUUUAGUUCUCGAUCUUUAGAAUUUAAAGCUCAAUGUAUAGAUUAAAUAAUGUACUUUAUUGAGAGGUUAUUUAUUAAACAAUUUGUCACUUUUGUGUUUGUUGAAAGUUGAGUUUUGUAUACAAAAGCAAUAGUUGAGAUUUUAUUUUGCGUGUGAAAGAGAAAUAUUGUUGUAAUUUGUGAGGAGUGUUCAUAGUUGAACACAUGGAUUUUAGUGAAUAUAUUGUGUUGAUAGAUCUUAAAUGUAUAAUGUUUAUUUAUUU